rnacentral:lncRNA from 1 species
AAGAACAAGAACAAAAAGAAGUUGCAGCCAGAAAUGAUCUCGAGUUGGCUGAUGCUGCAGUAGAUGUGACUGUUGCACAGUCAACUGGUAAUCUUGAUUCUACAAGUGCCUCAGAUGAACUUGCUGCAUCUCAUGGUGAAACUACUGAUCCACAAGUGGAUGGUAUGGAUGUUGAUGCAGACAAGAAAUGUGACAUGACAGUUACCACGGAUGUAGAUGUACCUAAAAACACACCUUCUGUUGCAGAGGGUGAGAAGGACAUACCAUCACAAGGUACAAGCGGUGAAGGUUCUGAGACUCACCUCUCUACCUCAGAUGGGAUCCCCUCCAGUGAUGUUGCAGCUCAAGAGUCUGUUAGCAAUGGAGACGCUGUUUCAGGCAGUGUGGCUAAGGUGCUUCCUACUGAAAAUCUAACAAGGACAACUGUAGCCGAUGACCAAG